AAUUCUCAACCCCUCCAGCUUUUGUGGCUGGCCUUGGGGCUUGGAUGUGGAGGUUUUUGCGGGCCUUUCGAGGUCGGCUCCUCUGAAAUGCAUUAGCGGAACCGUUUGCGAUCUGUCACAGGUGUGAUAAUUAUCUACGCCAAGUGGGUUGCUCUCUGUCUGUUCAGCUUCCAACCGUCCUUGCGGACAACUUUCUGAAC
rnacentral:misc_RNA from 1 species